UUAGUCUUCGUAUCGUCUUCCUCACAGUAGAGCUCGGCACCUUUUUUCUAAAGUUCUGUUUGUGGAUUCCUCCUCGAAACCCCGUUAUUGUGUAUAGGUUGAUAUUGUGGUGGCUAAUAGCAAUUCCUACAAUCCGCGAGUACAACUCAUAUCUUCAAGACAGAAAACCAGCGAAAAAAGUCGGCACAUUCUGUUGGCUUUCCUUAGUUAUUUGCAUAGUAGAGCUUCUCAUUUGCAUCAAGUUUGGACAUGGAAAGAGGAAUCAACAUGCUUUUUGUGCUGGGUGGGAACGUAACUCAUGCUAGGGAAAAUGUAAUUCAC